rnacentral:rRNA from 1 species
CUGCCCUUGACUCUGGGAUAAGCCUGGGAAACCGGGUCUAAUACUGGAUACUACUGCGCAUCGCAUGGUGUGUGGUGGAAAGGGUUUUACUGGUUUUGGAUGGGCUCACGGCCUAUCAGCUUGUUGGUGGGGUAAUGGCUCACCAAGGCGACGACGGGUAGCCGGCCUGAGAGGGUGACCGGCCACACUGGGACUGAGACACGGCCCAGACUCCUACGGGAGGCAGCAGUGGGGAAUAUUGCACAAUGGGCGAAAGCCUGAUGCAGCGACGCCGCGUGAGGGAUGACGGCCUUCGGGUUGUAAACCUCUUUCAGUAGGGAAGAAGCGAGAGUGACGGUACCUGCAGAAGAAGCGCCGGCUAACUACGUGCCAGCAGCCGCGGUAAUACGUAGGGCGCAAGCGUUGUCCGGAAUUAUUGGGCGUAAAGAGCUCGUAGGCGGUUUGUCGCGUCUGCUGUGAAAGCCCGGGGCUCAACCCCGGGUCUGCAGUGGGUACGGGCAGACUAGAGUGCAGUAGGGGAGACUGGAAUUCCUGGUGUAGCGGUGAAAUGCGCAGAUAUCAGGAGGAACACCGAUGGCGAAGGCAGGUCUCUGGGCUGUUACUGACGCUGAGGAGCGAAAGCAUGGGGAGCGAACAGGAUUAGAUACCCUGGUAGUCCAUGCCGUAAACGUUGGGCACUAGGUGUGGGGCACAUUCCACGUUUUCCGCGCCGUAGCUAACGCAUUAAGUGCCCCGCCUGGCGAGUACGGCCGCAUCGCUAAA